CCAUCUACUGGCAUUCUUUGAGUAGAAGAGUUCGACUUAAAAGAAUUAGAACUACCAAUCUCAAGCUCCACCUGCUUCUGUGCACUAUCAUUUAUACAACUAGUAGAUUCCUCUUUAGAAGAUAACAUAGAUAAUUCAUCAAAAGUAACAUCUCUACUGAUUACAAAUUUUGGGGAUUUGGGAUCAGAACACCAUAAUCUGUAUCCUUUCACCCCAGAUGCAUACCCAAGGAAAAUGUACUUUUUCGCUCG
rnacentral:lncRNA from 1 species